UGUUUUCUCCGCAGCCAGAGGUGCCCAAUUCCAGUCCUUUUCAAUUUGUAUACUUUUCUCCAAUGACUCCUUGAGGGUAAUUACAGUUCUUUUCACAAAUGAAGUAUGGAAGAUACGAGAGAGCGCCGAGGCUGUCAAUAGCCCUGCAGGAAUGCACGGUCUGUCUCCGGGAGACAGAAAGCAUCGAUCCUCCUUCCUGUGGGACUUGGAGCGUGAAAGGGAGGCUGGGGUGGACUCGCCUUCCCCUCCAAAGGGCCGGCUGGCUGGGGACAGGAGGUUCUGAACCCCAGGGAGGCACCCGAUGGAAGAGAUUGCUCCCCACUCCCCAGGCAAGAGUUUGAAGACCCGAGGGCUUUGCAGUGUUUGUGUUUUCCUUCCUGGGAUGGACGAUCCAAGAGCUCCAGCCACAGUCAGCAUGAGGCGCUCUGGUGGUCCGGGACACCAGUGACAGAGAGGACCAGAGAGCACCUGCUGGCAGACAGGUACACGGUACACAGCCGGAGACAGGCACCACCGAGGAGGUGGGAUCAGACAGACGUCCUCCGGCUGAACCAAUGGGCUGAGGUUUACCAGCUAAAGCGGCACAAGCGUAAAUGUGCAAUUUGCCCUUGGGUCCUAAACCCAACUGCCACCUUACGGAGCGCCCACUGCAUACAGAGCUCUAGGGCUGUGAGUUGGACAGUAAGCUCAGGACCAGUCAGCUCUCUGCCGUGGCAGCGAGUAACGGCGCAGAUGGGACACACUCAGGCCGGGGCACCACGGUUCCAGAAGGAUAUUGACAAUUGAGGACACGAAAGGAAAAGCGUAUGCAACACCCACUCUCGCUGUCCCCGCGCACCCCCACUCCCACCAUACUUGGCCCGCGGCCUCCUUGCAACCCCCAUGUCUGAAGUCGCCUCUUGUCCCCUCCAUCGGCUGUCCCCGGAACCCCAGCACUGCUUCCUCCCCUGUCCUGAGUCGCCACUGCCAUCCUAUUGACUCCACUCUCCCAACACCCUCAACCUCCUUGCCCUUUUUUCCAUCCCAUCCGGCCAAAUGCCAAGUCUGGCUUGAGACCGUGACCCUUGUUUUUCUGCUUAGGGACUUGGGUUUCUGAAGACAGCAAGACUGGAAAAUAUACUGGAGACUGGAACACGUUAAGCUCGGUGUCUCCACUCCCCCAGCAAGGGCCUUCCACACAUCAGCUACGUCUCUAGUCCCCACUCCUGGCUUAUUAGUCCUUGUCCCCUCUGGACAACCCUCCUCACCCGCACGCCACACUCCUCACUCUCAGCAUAUGACCUGACCUGGGUGGGAGAGAAAAAGGCUUUUUGGCGGGGGUGGGAAGUACUCCACCAACUUACUGCCCCUCUCUUUUUUUUAAACAGCUUAAUGAGGUGUAAUUUCCAGGCCAUAAAAUUCCUCUGUGGACGUGUACAAUUUACUGAUAUUUGCUGUUUUGACAGACUUGGGCAGUCAUCACCCCGUUCUAAUCUUUUAGUCAUGUUCCAUUCCUAUCCCAAGCCCUAGGCAUCCACGAAUCUACGUUCUGUCUCUACAGGUUUGCCUUUUCUGGACAUUUCGCGUAAAUGGAGUCGCACAAUGCGUAAUCUUUUGUGUCUGACUUCUUUUUCAGGUUCGUCCAUGUUGCAGCCUGCAACAGAAGCUGGUUCCAUUUUAUUGCAAAAUGCUCUUGCAUCGUAUGGAUAAAACACAUUUUGUUUGUUCACUAGGUGACGGACAUUUGAGUUGUUUUUGCUCCUUGGCUGUGAGGAGUGAUGCUGCUGUGAACGUUUGCAUACACAUCUUUGUGCGGAUAUAUAUUUUUAUGCCUCUUGGGCAGAUGCCUAGGAACUCACCCCAAUCUUACGAGCUGAUCUGGAUCCUUCUCUCCUUCCUCUCCAGUAUCAGUGACUGAGGUGUCUCUCCUCCGAUUACAGUAGAACUCUCCAGCUAUGCUCUGCAUUAUCCCCUUUCCUGCUGCCUGAUGGGUCUUGCUCUGUCUGUCCCCCCUUCUCUCUCACUGCCAGUAUUCUCCUCCAUAAAAUGAGGAUAACAGUAAGGUCCACCUCCUGGGGUUUUGUGAGGAUUAAAUGAGUUCAGUGGAUAGAUUCUGAGGUCCCUCAAGAUCCCCAUCUCCUCCUGUUCAGGCCUUCGUGAAAUCCCCUGGCGUGAGUAGAGGCGAGACCUGUGACUUGCUCCUCUAACCAAUGGCAUAUGGCAAAGGUGAUGGGAUGUCACUCCUAUAAUUAUGUCACAUUACAUAAGACUCUGUCUUAGAAGACUUGAGGUACAGACUUUCCUUGCUGGCUUCAUGAAGUAAUCAGGCACACUGGGGAACCCUGGGCAUCCUCCUGCAGGUGGCCUCUAGGACCUCAGAGGAGCCUCUAGCCAAUGGCCACCAAGACUCCACAGCCCCAGCACUACAACCACAAGAAAAUGAAUUAUGCUGACAAUCUGAGGGAGUGUAGAAGUGAAGUCUGCCCCAGUUGAGCCUCCAGAUGAGAAUUCAACCCAGCUGCCACCUCGACUGUAAGCUUUGAGACCCAGAGCAGAGGACCCAACUCUGCCAUAUCAGGAUUCCUGACCCGCAGAAACUAUAAGAUGAUAAAUAUGUGUUGUUGCAAGCUGCCGAGUUUGUGGCAAUUUGUUCCAUAGUAACAGAAAACAAAUGCAUACAUAAGGAGCUUAGAGAAGAGUCUAGCACCACCAGCAGCCCCUAAGAGUGUUAGUGGAUGCUCACGGUAGUAUGAGAUCAGCAAUUUUCCCCUAGAUUAUAACCAAGCAAAGCCCAUCUCAAGCAAUCAACAGAAAACAAGUGAGCCUUUAUUUUCCAUCCCUGACAAAUUCCUUCCAAGAGUUUUCUGUAUUCAUUUCUUGCCCUUCUAUUCACUCUCAUUUUGCUGCAAUUUAAUUCCUCCACUUCCUCUACUCCACUGAAGCUGUUCUCCUCGAGGUCACCAAUAAUCUCCUAGUUACUAAAUCUGCUGAAUGAUUUGUGUCCUUCCUGUACUUGACUUCCCUUUGGCCCUUGAUGUUGGUGACUGAAGUGGCUUAGAGCCUUGUCCCAACAAGACCUUCACUGAAUCUGAACCUCUUUCGGGAGAACUCAAGAGCGAUUAGAUCCUGGCAUGCUGGCUCCUGGAAACUUCCAUUCAUUCCUUCAUUCAUUCAUCUUGAUACACCCUUGCAUACUUGUGGGUAUUGCAGACACAGCACUAAAGCAUUCCACGAAACGGGCACGGUCUUUACUCUCAAAGAAGAUUGCAUUAGAGGCACAGGGGCACAGAUUAAAAUAGGCCCAGAAGUAGAUAGACUGUAAGAUUUCAUGUGUGUAAGUAUUGUGAUGACAACAAGGGAGGAUGAAGUGACAGAGAAUCCUACAUAGAGAACCUACAUUAGAGCAAGCAGUCGGAGAAAGCUUCUCCAGGGAGGUGACAUUUGAACUGGGGUUUGAAUGAAGGAGCCAGCCAUGGGGAGAUUGGGGGGAAGAGCACUCUAGGCCAAGGGAGCAGCUAAUGCAAAGACUCUAAAGCGGGCAGCAUAGUGGGGUGUCUAAAGAACAGAAAGAAGGCCAGUGUGGCUGCUGCAGAGCUGAGCGAACCGCUGAGUGGUGGGAGAUGAGGCCAGAGACACUAGCGGGCUCAGGCCGCCCCCCCCCGCCCCGGGCCCAGUCUGGACUUUAGUCCAAGUGCAACAGUGAAUGAACAGAGAUUUAAAGCAGGGGAGUCGAUGAUGUGGUUCUUGUUUUAUGAAGAGCAGUCUGGUUGCUACCUGGAGAAUGCAUUAGAGGGAGGCAACGGCCAAAGCAGAGAGACUAGCGGCAUGGCUAUCGCAGGGCUGUGGGGGAGAUGUGAUGGCGGUUCUGACUAGUGUAGAUUGUUUUCCCUGGAGACAGACUCUGGAAUUCUGUGAUUUGCAUACAGGUGAUUUCCUGGGGGAUGCGCUCAGGGACGACACCUGUGGGGGAGUGAGGAAAGCAGGCACAACUUCCAACUGUGAACAAGUUGCAACUGAGAGCCCUCAGCUCCCCUCAAGGGAAGCCACCAAGCUGGGAGACGUCCUUGGACCUGUCCUAAAUGGAAGCCAGAGGGUCAGGCUUUCAGACCGUAGACUCAACCAGUCCCUGGACGACGGGGUGUGGGCCUGGGGAGGGAACGUAGCCUCAAACAAAAGAGGGUUCUCUUCAACUGAGAGGAAUUCCUGGAGAAGGACGCCGCCACUGGAGGAUCGGGUGCCCUGGGCAUGCUAUGAAGUAUGCCACAGGUGGUAGCUACAGAAACGUAGAGAAUCUGGCAAAGCCAGAUUAUAAUUUCUAGGUAGAACCAGCGGAAGUCAUAGUUGGCCUCACUGUAAGACAAAACAUGGGAGGAAUCAAAGGUGGCUCCCAAGUAUCUGGUUUGAGCACUGGGGAAGAUGGUGUUCCCAUUCCUGAGACGGGGCACCGAUUUCUGGAGGAAAUUAAGAGCUCAGCUUUGGCCAUGUGCCAUCCCAGAGUCCUGACAGACGUCCGCGGAGUGUUGACAACUAUGCAGCCUGACAGGUGAGCAUGAGGCUCAGUCAAGGCUGAGGACCUAGUUUGGGAAACUCCUGGUCAUCCAGCAAGUAGAGGAUGUGUAGCCUGCCAGAGACACUGAAGAGAGACCCAUGAAGUGGGAGAGAAUUGAGAAGAGUGGGUGUCCCAGAAGCCAAGAGAGGAGCCGUUUUAAGGAAGAGGGAGGAGCCGUCAGGGUUGAGUGCCAAUGAGGGGCAACCGUUGGAUUUGGCGGGAUGGGGAUCACCAGGUAAUCUUGCCAAGAGGACUUUUGGUGGGAUGGUGGGAAUGGAAGCCCAGGUAGAAAAGGUGAGAGGGAGAAUCAGAGGUGGAGACGUGAUUACAGCAAUUGUAGGCAAUUAUUUGUUUGACCUAUUUCGCUGUACCGACAAGCAGGGAAAUGGGACAAUGCUUGGAGCAAGGUGUCUGGCCAAUUAUAGGGGUUUUCAAAAGAUGUCAUUCCAGAACAUGCACAUCUGUAGGUGAGGAUGAUUGCGGAGAGCGGCAAGAGGGAAGGAAGGUGCAAAGCCCUGAGGAAGGUGAGCUGGCUUGAGUCCAGGGCAUAAAUGGAGGAUUUGGACGUAUGCUCAAAGUCUUCCAACCAUGUUAUAGAAAGGAAAAUACCAACUGUAGGUUUUGAUACGAGUAUCUGUAGUUGAGUAGAUUUGGUGGUGGGGACAGAAGGUGAAGGAGUUUCAUUCUGUCAAUGGAGCAUGAGGUCAAGUGAGAAGAAAGGGCAUGUAGGGGAUUCCAUGAGCAGCUGGAGGUAAGUAGCUAAAUUCUUAGUCUCCACUGGAAAAGGCUGGACUCAGGCCCUGGCAACUUAAGGGCAGAUCUGCACGAGCGCUGGAAGGCUGCUUGGCGAACAGACUCAGAACAAAGACGUCUGGUGGAACAAAGAGACUAGAGACAACCACAGCCUUCUGCAUCCAUUCCUCUUGCCCUUGAGAAGCUCUUGCCAUUGGGACCAGAAAACUCCAAAUCUUAUAGCUUGAAUGCUCUGUACGUGUCUUUAGGAACAGAAUUUCCUGAAGGUCACAGUUUCUUGUCUUCUAGACCUCCCUGGGAUGGGCACCGCCUCUCUUUUCUCUGGGGACUCCCACUCUCUUCUGCUCCGUGAUCAACUUCCUUCUGGCCAACAAUUUUCUUAUUUUAGAUUUCCUAGACAGACAAAAUAGGCUAUAGUCCAGCACUCCUGGUCCCUGAACAAUUUUUCAUUUUUAGAUGACCCAGCCUAUGUCUGCUCUAGUCCAUGGGUUCCAAUGGACUCUCGGGGACUUAACUAUUUCCCUUAUUUUGCCAUUCCCCAGUGCCACUCUCAUACACUCUCCGCUUUUCAGCAUGUUCCUUUCACCCAAGGUCCUUCUCAUCUCAUCCUCCUUCUUCCUUUCUCACCCUCUCCAAGGUCUUCCCAGCCCUCAGGCACUGGCAUAGCUGGGGUCUCACCUUCAUGAUUCCAUCCUUCUGAACUUCAUAUACUCUUCCCAUGUUCCCCUGGCUUCCACGGAUGAUCCAAUGAAUUCCAAAUCCUUAUUGCCCGCCUAGAGCCCUCUUCUGAGCUACAGACUGGUCUCCACUGAAUGUCUCUCACAAGUCAAGGUCCCCUCCAUGAUGACGACACCCUUCCCGACCACCCCUCCCCCUUCAGAGUUCUAGUCCCUACACAGAUCUCAAUCUUAGCAUCUUGUAAUACUCACUUUUAAAAUAGACUUUAUUUUUAGAGCCGUUUUGAGUUCACUGCUAAAUUAAGCAAAAAGGACUGAUCGUUUCCAGAUACCCACAGUCCCCACACAUGCACUUGCUCCCCUAUAUCAACUCCCCCCACCAGAAUGGGACAUUUAUUACCAUCAGUGAACCCACAUUGACAAGGCAUGAUCACACCAAGCCCACAGUUCACAUUAGGGUUUACUCUUGGUGUUAUACACUCUAAGCGUUUUGACAAAUGUACGAUGACAUUUAUCCACCAUCAUAGUAUCAUAGAGUAGCUUCACUGACUAAAAGUUCUCUGUGCUCUGCCUACUCAUCCCUUCCCCCCUCCUAACCCCUGGCAACAGCUGAUCUUCUUACUGUAGCUCCAUAGUUUCGCCUUGUCCAGAAUGUCAGAUAGUUGGAAUCACACAGUGUGUAGGCUUUUCAUAUUGGCUUCUUUCACUUAACAAUGUGCAUUUAAGUUUCUUCUAUGUCUUUUCAUGAGCAUUUGAUAGCUCAUUUCUUUUUAGCAGUGAAUAAUAUUCCUUUGCACGAAUGUAUCACAGUUUAUCCAUUCACUUCCUAAAGAAAACCCUGUAGUACUAAUUUUUUUUUUUGCAGGGGAGGGGCGGAGGGCAAGAGAAAAUCUUAAGCAGGCUCCACGCCCAGUGUGGAGCCCGGCCCGGGGCUCGAUCUCUCAACUCUGGGAUCAUGACCUGAGCCAAAAUCAAGAGUCGGCUGCUCAACUGACUGAGCCACCCAGGUGCCCCAGUAGUCAUUUUUUUACACUUGUCAAUUUACAAGUAUGUCUCCAUCCACUAGAUAGUAAGCCCCUUAAGAACAAGAGUGACCAAAUUUUCAUAACCUUACCAUCUAGCAAAGUGCCUGGUACAUAGUUGAUCCUCAAUAAAUGUUAAACAGAGGCGUGUUAAAGUCAAUAAAUAGUGUCCCAGUGGCAUCUACAACGCCAUAUGUGCAAAGCCAAAUGUAAUCUCUCCUUCUCUUUGCCUUCAAAAUGAUCCAGAUAUACUCCUUAGACUUUCUGUUUCAUAGAAUCCACUUAGGAUAAAAAUCUGAAGAUACCCUAGACUCUUCCUCUCCUUCACCUCCCAUGUCCAACCCCUCCCAGCUCCUAUUGACUUGACCUUGAAUGUCUCUCACGUUAUGCCUGUCUGCCGCACCUUUUACCACCUCUCAAAUUCAGACCCUGUUCCUUCCUCCCCUGGAUUAUUCCAGCAGCCUCCUCACUUCACCACAUCCGUUCUGGCACUCUUCGCACUGGCCACCUGAGUUGUCUUCCUAAAAUAUCCCCUCCCUACUUAAAAGUCUGCAGUGAGCCCUCACGCCUGUGGGAUUACAAUGGAACCCCUUACAAAGACGUUUCAAAGCUACUCAUGAUCCAGCCCCUGAGACGGCGUAUGUGACGCUCUCAGCACAGUGCCUGGAACAGGAAAAGCACAAUAAAUGUUCACAUUAUUACCAUUUUUACAAUAUAGCCUGGAGAUAAAAAGAGUUUGGGAGGACAGGAGAAUUGCCAUCGAGUACCUGAUGACCAGGCAUAUGAAAUAUGCAUCAGACUCUUUCUGUUUUCUGUUUUCUUCCAGGAAACAGAAUUGGACAGACUGAGGGAGGCCGUGGAGAGGCAAGUUUCAUUUAAAUUGAAAGGCGACCUUUGUAACAGCCGGAAGCAUCCAGCUGGAAGGAAGUGAACACCACUUCACCAGAAGAGUGUGGUGGAAUGUUCCGGUCUCCAUCAGAGGGAAUCAGCCCCACGCGUGCGUUCCCACAGCAUUUGGCUCACGAUCCCAUCAGAGCACCUGCCUCGAUGCAUCUGGUCCCAGGUCUGGUCCCCUUUGGGUCGGAAGCUCCUUGAGGACAGGAGCAUUGUCUAGCCCCUGUCGCUGCAGUCUCCAUCAGCCCCAUGCAAGGGAGGGGGCAUUCAAAGGGAAGGGAGCCAGCUGGGGCCACUGACCCUCUUCAAAAGCCCUGUCUAAGGCCGCCCUGGGACCCACUCUCAAGGGACUUGCUCCAAAGACAAGUCUGAGACCCUGGCUGUGGCUGCCGUGGCAUGGCUCAGCCACCACGGCUGUCCCCUGAGCACGGUCCCACCAACACUCACUUUGGGAGCCACGCGGGACUGAAUGCCGGUUUGCAUUUCCAAGCCCCGAUCGUACACGCGAUAGAGGCUCGUGCAGCCGUUUAACACAAAGCUGCCGCUCUGUAUUUAUUGACAUGGAAAGAUGUCCACAACAUAUUGUCGAGAGAAAAAAGCGUUUUACACCACA